rnacentral:rRNA from 1 species
UACGAAGGGGGCUAGCGUUGCUCGGAAUCACUGGGCGGUAAAGCGCACGUAGGCGGAUUGCUAAGUCAGGGGUGAAAUCCUGGAGCUCAACUCCAGAACUGCCUUUGAUACUGGCGAUCUUGAGUCCGGGGAGAGGUGAGUGGAACUGCGAGUGUAGAGGUGAAAUUCGUAGAUAUUCGCAAGAACACCAGUGGCGAAGGCGGCUCACUGGCCCGGUACUGACGCUGAGGUGCGAAAGCGUGGGGAGCAAACAGGG